CAGCCGCCGCGGGAAUACAGAGGGUGCGAGCGUUAAUCGGAUUUACUGGGCGUAAAGCGUGCGUAGGCGGCUUUUUAAGUCGGAUGUGAAAUCCCUGAGCUUAACUUAGGAAUUGCAUUCGAUACUGGGAAGCUAGAGUAUGGGAGAUGAUGGUAGAAUUCCAGGUGUAGCGGUGAAAUGCGUAGAGAUCUGGAGGAAUACCGAUGGCGAAGGCAGCCAUCUGGCCUAAUACUGACGCUGAGGUACGAAAUCAUGGGGAGCAAACAGGAUUAGAUACCCCCGUAGUCCCUGUCUCUUAUAC
rnacentral:rRNA from 1 species